rnacentral:lncRNA from 1 species
AAAGAUAUUUUAGGAAAUUUUUGAAAGUAAGGCUUCUUUUCCUCUUCCUGAAUAGGCUUCAAUAUUUGUAAUUGCUUAUUAUGCUUUCUAAUUUUGAUUUCUAUUUCAUUUGCAACUCUUGUAUUUAGAGGAUGUUUCAAGAGAUAGUUGAAACUAUUAAUUGCAAUUCAUCUCCUAUGCAGAAAAGUCUACCUUCAGUGCAUUCUUUUUUAUAAGCACUUUUAUGGCAGUUGAGACUUCCUAUUUCAAUUGUAUGUCUUUGGUGCUACAGGUAAAAAUUUCAAUACUUAGUAUGAUGAAAAUUUUAGCAGCAAUGUAAAUUUUCUAUGCCUGGUCCUUGUUGAAUGUGAUGUUUUGUCGGUGGUUAUUGAUUAAACUACCAAGAAUCGUUUUAGGCUUAUUGUGAUAUGGAUUUUGAAUGAAUUCUUUUGUGUAUUAUUUAGUGUAUUUGUUAUACUGUAUUUAUUCUAGUUUAUUUUUGUCUUUUUUUGAGAGAGAAUUUUACAAUGAAGCACCUUUUUGAAUAUGUUUUGAUAUCUCCGUCUCUAUUUGUCAAGUGAAAAUUUUGUGAUGUAUAGUGAUGUAUAGAACUUACUAUAAAUGUAAGGUCAGCUUGGAAAGGUUAAGCGAAUUUUUGUAACGGACAAUGUACUCACAACUAUGUAAGGUGAAGAAGAUGGAUGGGAGAUUUAACUUUUUGAAAUUGGAUAAAUAUUGCUAUUUUGUGCAAGCAUGAAGAAAUUUCGGCAACAAAGGUAUUAUUGAAAUUAGAAUUUUUGUUGUUUGCUAUGUUUGAAUAUAUCGUACUAAAGCAAUAUAAGUUUCGAAUGAAAUUUUCAAAAUAUUUUGCAGAUUGUAUUGAUUCUAAGCAAGCUUGCUGAAUUUAGAAGUCUUUAUUCUCUUGGAACAUGUGGUACUAUUUAUUG